AUUAAACCCCAAAAACACAAAGUUUUGGUCCUAAACUUACCGUUGUUUUUAACCAAAAUUACACAUGCAAGCCUCCACAUACCAGUGAAAAUGCCCAUACAUUCCUAAACAGAAAACCGGAGCGGGCAUCAGGAUCAACAAAUUUUAGCCAAUAACGCCUUGCUACGCCACACCCACACGGGCCCACAGCAGUGAUUAACAUUAACACAUAAGCGAAAGCUUGACCUAGUUAUGGUUAAUAUGGAUCGGUAAAUUUCGUGCCAGCCACCGCGGUUAUACGAAAGAUUCUAAACAAUGGCCUUCGGCGUAAAGCGUGACUAGAUGCUGUCAAAAAAUUAAAGGAAAACCACCGUCAGGCCGUAAAACGCUACCACGAACUGGAAUCCCACCAACAAAUGCCUUUAAAUAAAAGACUGUUUUACCUCACGAAAGCUAAGAAACAAACUGGGAUUAGAUACCCCACUAUGCUU
rnacentral:rRNA from 1 species